rnacentral:rRNA from 1 species
AUGAAUGAAGCGAAGAAGGGGAGUACCUUUUGCUUUUUCGCGAGGAAACUGAUGCAUAGUAAUGCAAAUUGUAAGCAAUCUGUUAGGACCACCCUUGUAUAUAAAAGGGUUAUCCCUCACAAAUUCCUUGAUGGCAUGCAAGCAAUAAGGCUGAAAACAAUGACAUGCAAGGGAUUGGUUUUAAGAGUAGCAUAUACGGGAGUUCCUUAUAUGAUAAUAUACUUGCAUGCACUUCAGUAUCAUCCGUUUAAUGAGCUUAAGCUGUGGCUUUCAAGACAGGAAGCUCGAGUGCUGUCAGCUUACCUUGCUUAA